GGUUAAGCGACUAAGCGUACACGGUGGAUGCCCUGGCAGUCAGAGGCGAUGAAGGACGUGCUAAUCUGCGAUAAGCGUCGGUAAGGUGAUAUGAACCGUUAUAACCGGCGAUUUCCGAAUGGGGAAACCCAGUGUGAUUCGUCACACUAUCAUUAACUGAAUCCAUAGGUUAAUGAGGCGAACCGGGGGAACUGAAACAUCUAAGUACCCCGAGGAAAAGAAAUCAACCGAGAUUCCCCCAGUAGCGGCGAGCGAACGGGGAGCAGCCCAGAGCCUGAAUCAGUGUGUGUGUUAGUGGAAGCGUCUGGAAAGGCGUGCGAUACAGGGUGACAGCCCCGUACACAAAAAUGCACAUACUGUGAGCUCGAUGAGUAGGGCGGGACACGUGGUAUCCUGUCUGAAUAUGGGGGGACCAUCCUCCAAGGCUAAAUACUCCUGACUGACCGAUAGUGAACCAGUACCGUGAGGGAAAGGCGAAAAGAACCCCGGCGAGGGGAGUGAAAAAGAACCUGAAACCGUGUACGUACAAGCAGUGGGAGCACGCUUAGGCGUGUGACUGCGUACCUUUUGUAUAAUGGGUCAGCGACUUAUAUUCUGUAGCAAGGUUAACCGAAUAGGGGAGCCGAAGGGAAACCGAGUCUUAACUGGGCGUUAAGUUGCAGGGUAUAGACCCGAAACCCGGUGAUCUAGCCAUGGGCAGGUUGAAGGUUGGGUAACACUAACUGGAGGACCGAACCGACUAAUGUUGAAAAAUUAGCGGAUGACUUGUGGCUGGGGGUGAAAGGCCAAUCAAACCGGGAGAUAGCUGGUUCUCCCCGAAAGCUAUUUAGGUAGCGCCUCGUGAAUUCAUCUCCGGGGGUAGAGCACUGUUUCGGCAAGGGGGUCAUCCCGACUUACCAACCCGAUGCAAACUGCGAAUACCGGAGAAUGUUAUCACGGGAGACACACGGCGGGUGCUAACGUCCGUCGUGAAGAGGGAAACAACCCAGACCGCCAGCUAAGGUCCCAAAGUCAUGGUUAAGUGGGAAACGAUGUGGGAAGGCCCAGACAGCCAGGAUGUUGGCUUAGAAGCAGCCAUCAUUUAAAGAAAGCGUAAUAGCUCACUGGUCGAGUCGGCCUGCGCGGAAGAUGUAACGGGGCUAAACCAUGCACCGAAGCUGCGGCAGCGACGCUUAUGCGUUGUUGGGUAGGGGAGCGUUCUGUAAGCCUGUGAAGGUGUGCUGUGAGGUAUGCUGGAGGUAUCAGAAGUGCGAAUGCUGACAUAAGUAACGAUAAAGCGGGUGAAAAGCCCGCUCGCCGGAAGACCAAGGGUUCCUGUCCAACGUUAAUCGGGGCAGGGUGAGUCGACCCCUAAGGCGAGGCCGAAAGGCGUAGUCGAUGGGAAACAGGUUAAUAUUCCUGUACUUGGUGUUACUGCGAAGGGGGGACGGAGAAGGCUAUGUUGGCCGGGCGACGGUUGUCCCGGUUUAAGCGUGUAGGCUGGUUUUCCAGGCAAAUCCGGAAAAU
rnacentral:rRNA from 1 species